rnacentral:rRNA from 1 species
AUUGAACGCUGGCGGCAUGCUUUACACAUGCAAGUCGGACGGCAGCGGGGUAGUGCUUGCACUACUGCCGGCGAGUGGCGAACGGGUGAGUAAUAUAUUGGCACGUACCGAGUUAUGGGGGAUAACCAAUCGAAAGAUUGGCUAAUACCGCAUACGCUCUGAGGCGGAAAGCAGGGGACCUUCGGGCCUUGCGUUAUUCGAGCGGCCAAUAUCUGAUUAGUUGGUUGGUGGGGUAAGGGCCUACCAAGGCGACGAUCAGUAGCGGGUCUGAGAGGAGGGUCGGCGACCUGGGAACUGAGACACGGCCCAGGCUCCUACGGGAGGCAGCAGUGGGGAAUUUGAGACAAUGGGCGCAAACCUGGUCCAGCCAUGCCGCGUGUCUUAAGAAGGCCUUCGGGUUGUAAAGGACGUUUGUGAGGGAAGAAAAAGGAGCGGUUAAUACGCGGUUCUGCUGACGGUACCUAAAGAAUAAGCACCGGCUAACUACGUG